rnacentral:piRNA from 1 species
AAAAAAAGUUGGCUUAGAGACAU